AAUUCGGAAGUCUCUGAGGUUUUGACCGAGCUUGUUAUGCAAGAAAAAUGUGUUACAAGGAAUAACAAGGGAGAUACUCAUGUGGAUGACGAAGAGGAGGAUGACAGUGAUGAAGAGGAGGAAGAGACCAACACGGCAGUGACGUCUAAAACAGAGCCUCCAACAAAACGAAGGAAGACAUGACAAUCUUGCCCUCACCAUGUCAUGGACAGCUUUCAAGAGUUUUGGAAUGUGUCUAGUAACAGGAUUUGGUCCAUCUUGUCACACCUUAGGAUGUACCAAUGUUCCAGCCAAAUGGCCCACCCCAAACGACCUGCUCUAGAUAAUGGAACUGAGAUUUCAGCAACAAAGUUCUGUGGGUGUCUGUAGUGUUGUUGCUAUACGUUGGGGUCACUGGCUUUGAGUAGCACUUGUUGUUGUUGUAGUAAGGCUGUUUUGUAUUAAAUUUAAUGUAGGUUUCCUUGACUGUGUCUUUGUAAUAAACUCACUCAUUACAGGACCACA